CACACAGGGGUUGGCCUUGGGAAAGGCAGUGGGGCGGGCCCGGGGGCGGGCGCCCCGCGCUCUGGUCCUUCUGCGGGCCCAGUCUCCGUUACUCGCUCUGCGGACCCAAGUUGCCGUCGGCGCUGAGCCGCGAGAUGUUCUUCAGAGCUGCCUGGAGCUUGGUGCUGAGGAAAACAGGACCUGGGAUGCGGGGGACCCACGGCCCAGGAAGCGCUGCCCACCGCGAGGGGAAGAUGCCGCCCUACACCAACUACCAUGCCCAGCGCUCCUACCCCAUGCCUGAUGAGCCCUUCUGCACAGAGCUCAAUGCUGAGCAGCGGGCCCUGAAGGAGAAGGAGAAGGGCAGCUGGACCCAGCUGAGCCACGCCGAGAAGGUGGCCUUGUACCGCCUUCAGUUCCAUGAGACCUUCGCAGAGAUGAACCGUCGCUCCAACGAGUGGAAGACAGUGAUGGGCUGUGUUUUCUUCUUUUUUGGAUUCACAGCUCUGAUGAUUUGGUGGCAGCGGGUCUAUGAGAGAAAUUACAAGUACACUGAGAGGCAGGCAGAGAGAGAGAGAGAAGGAAGCAGGCUCCCUGCUGAGCAGAGAGCCCGAUGCGGGACUCGAUCCCAGGACCCUGAGAUCAUGACCUGAGCCGAAGGUAGUGGCUUAACCCACUGAGCCACCCAGGCGCCCCAGCCACUUCAGAUUUUUAAAUGUUUCCAAGGAAGCCCAUCACCCUGACAGAUGAGUGGAAGGCCCAACAGCUCCAGCGUAUCCUGGAUAUGAAGGGCAACCCCGUGCAAGGCCUGGCCUCCCAGUGGGACUAUGAGAAGAAGGAGUGGAAGAAGUGAUG